UCAAGCUCUUCUGUGUCUAGAGGAAGAGCUACCCCGUGACCGGCUUAGAGAACUGGAAGAGGCCGCAACCUUUCUCCUGCUUGAAGCUGGAGGAUGGAUGGAGUCUGGAGCCCUGGAGCGUGGGACACUGUUUCGCUGUGGUUGGUGGUGGCGACAGAGCAGUAGGAGAGCGCCCGGCAGCGGGAGCUUCUCCUGCUGGGCUGGAGGACUAGGAGAAGGAAGAGGCACUGCCACAUGCUGGAGGCUGGAACCUGUGCCACCGUGGCUGGCCUGGCUCUGGUUGGUUCGCCUCGCUGUGGUUGGUGGUGACGUCGGAGACUGCAGCUCGGUCACAGUGGUAGAAAUGUGAUGGGGGAAGUUGGAAAUAGGCAAGAAUGGAGAGAAAUUUUGUAUGGCAGUACACAGAAUUUUGCAAGUUUAUUG
rnacentral:lncRNA from 10 species